AGAUUAAGUUAUUAAGGGCGCACGGUGGAUGCCUUGGCACUAGAAGCCGAUGAAGGACGUUACUAACGACGAUAUGCUUUGGGGAGCUGUAAGUAAGCUUUGAUCCAGAGAUUUCCGAAUGGGGAAACCCAGCAUGAGUUAUGUCAUGUUAUCGAUAUGUGAAUACAUAGCAUAUCAGAAGGCACACCCGGAGAACUGAAACAUCUUAGUACCCGGAGGAAGAGAAAGAAAAUUCGAUUCCCUUAGUAGCGGCGAGCGAAACGGGAAGAGCCCAAACCAACAAGCUUGCUUGUUGGGGUUGUAGGACACUCUAUACGGAGUUACAAAGGACGACAUUAGACGAAUCAUCUGGAAAGAUGAAUCAAAGAAGGUAAUAAUCCUGUAGUCGAAAAUGUUGUCUCUCUUGAGUGGAUCCUGAGUACGACGGAGCACGUGAAAUUCCGUCGGAAUCUGGGAGGACCAUCUCCUAAGGCUAAAUACUCUCUAGUGACCGAUAGUGAACCAGUACCGUGAGGGAAAGGUGAAAAGCACCCCGGAAGGGGAGUGAA
rnacentral:rRNA from 2 species